rnacentral:tRNA from 1 species
GCCAGCGUGGCACAAUCUGGUACUGCGCGGGCCUGGAAAGCCCGUUUCCUCACGGAUAUCCCGGUUCAAAUCCGGGCGCUGGCG